UGGUUCUGGCAUCGAUGAAGAACGCAGCGAAAUGCGAUAAGUAAUGUGAAUUGCAGAAUUCAGUGAAUCAUCGAAUCUUUGAACGCACAUUGCGCCCCUUGGUAUUCCGGGGGGCAUGCCCGUUCGAGCGUCAUUUCACCACUCAAGCCUGGCUUGGUGUUGGGCCACGGGGGCGACCCGGGCCUCAAAGUCGUCGGCCGGACGGUCCGAAUCUCAGCGUCGUGGCAAACAUAAUCGCUGGCGAGACGGGCGACCCGCGCCGUGAAACUUCUAUAUCACAGGUUGACCUCGGAUCGGGUAGGGAUGCCCGCUGA
rnacentral:misc_RNA from 1 species